AUUGAACGCUGGCGGAAUGCUUUACACAUGCAAGUCGAACGGCAGCACGGACUUCGGUCUGGUGGCGAGUGGCGAACGGGUGAGUAAUGUAUCGGAACGUGCCCAGUCGUGGGGGAUAACGUAGUGAAAAUUACGCUAAUACCGCAUACGAUCUAUGGAUGAAAGCGGGGGAUCGCAAGACCUCGCGCGAUUGGACCGGCCGAUAUCAGAUUAGGUAGUUGGUGGGGUAAAGGCCCACCAAGCCAACGAUCUGUAGCUGGUCUGAGAGGACGACAAGCCACACUGGAACUGAGACACGGUCCAGACUCCUACGGAAGGCAGCAGUGGGGAAUUUUGGACAAUGGGCGAAAGCCUGAUCCAGCCAUUCCGCGUGCAGGAUGAAGGCCCGCGAGUUGUAAACUGCUUUGGUACAGAACGAAAAGGUUUCUACUAAUACUAGGAGCUCAUGACGGUACUGUAAGAAUAAGCACCGGCUAACUACGUGCCAGCCGCCGCAGUAA
rnacentral:rRNA from 1 species